CUUGCUUUGUGCUUGCUGAGUGUCUCUCAGCCAGCCUCAGAUUUGCUUUGUUAAACACUCAUGCACGUUGAACAAAGCUGUUGGGUGACAAAAAGCAGGGGUUUUUGGUUAGUGAAGGCUUCUCUGAGUGCUUCAGUUUGCUCCGGCUUUGGGGAUAAACUGGCAAGAUUCACAGGUCCUAAAUAUGAAGCCACUGGAUGACAGGAGUGCAAAAGCAAGUCAGUGUUGUCUGUCAGCCUCCAGGGAGGAGUUUCUAAAUGAUGCAGUAAGCACUGAACUCAAUCUGGAUACUUUAAACAAAGCAAAUGUGUCAGAACAAGAGCAUAGAAUAUUCCUCAGUGAGGUUCAGAAACUGAUGUGAAAAUGAAUUGAAGAAUGGGAAGUGGUUGGAGGCCCUAACUGAGCUGUGUGUGGCCUGUAAGCACUUUCAAGUUUACAGAAGAUUUCUGAUAGCUCCACUGCUUGACCAGUUAUAAUCUUUUGGUAAGUCUUCAAGUGUGAAUUCCACUUU